rnacentral:rRNA from 1 species
AACGAACGCUGGCGGCAGGCCUAACACAUGCAAGUCGAACGCAUCCUUCGGGGUGAGUGGCGCACGGGUGAGUAACACGUGGGAAUGUAUCCUUUGGUUCGGAAUAACGUCUGGAAACGGACGCUAAUACCGGAUGAGCCCUUAGGGGGAAAGAUUUAUCGCCGAAGGAGCAGCCCGCGUCUGAUUAGGUAGUUGGUGGGGUAAAGGCCUACCAAGCCGACGAUCAGUAGCUGGUCUGAGAGGAUGAUCAGCCACACUGGGACUGAGACACGGCCCAGACUCCUACGGGAGGCAGCAGUGGGGAAUAUUGGACAAUGGGCGCAAGCCUGAUCCAGCCAUGCCGCGUGAGUGAUGAAGGCCUUCGGGUUGUAAAGCUCUUUCGCACACGACGAUGAUGACGGUAGUGUGAGAAGAAGCCCCGGCUAACUUCGUGCCAGCCGCCGCGGUAAAAC